rnacentral:rRNA from 1 species
UGGGGAAUCUUGCGCAAUGCGCGAAAGCGUGACGCAGCAACGCCGCGUGGGGGAAGAAGGCCUUCGGGUUGUAAACCUCUUUCAGUUGGGACGAAGGUUGGGCGGUGAAUAGCCGUUCUGACUGACGGUACCUUCAGAAGAAGCCCCGGCUAACUACGUGCCAGCAGCCGCGGUAAUACGUAGGGGGCAAGCGUUGUCCGGAAUCAUUGGGCGUAAAGCGCGUGUAGGCGGCUCGGUAAGUCCGCUCUGAAAGUCCAGGGCUCAACCCUGGGAUGCGGGUGGAUACUGCCGGGCUCGAGUCCGGAAGAGGCGAGUGGAAUUCCCGGUGUAGCGGUGAAAUGCGCAGAUAUCGGGAGGAACACCAAUGGCGAAGGCAGCUCGCUGGGACGUGACUGACGCUGAGACGCGAAAGCGUGGGGAGCAAACA